GGACGCACCUCUCUGUGGGACCUCUCCCCCUCGGCGCCGCGGCCGCCCCUCCCCACCGUCUGGUGCCGCGCCACCACGCAGUCCACCGAGGACGCCUCCGCGGCGAAGGGUAUCCCGGGUGCGCACCACACAUCGGCGCCGAUCCCACCGGUGACGAGGCCUCCGCCCGCUCCCGCUCCGCCGCCGCCACGCUCCUUCCUCCUGUCCUUGCCCCUCCUCCGCCGCCGCCCGUGCCAGUCCGCCGACGACCGCAAGGCCGCCGCCGCGGCCGCUCCGGGCGCGUACGCCUUGGACGCCGCCGCCGACGUGCAGCCCAGGCCGCGCAGCGCCGCCGAGGCGAACCCCUUCCUUCUCCCCUCCUCCGGCGCCGGCGCUGGCGGCGGAGGCGGAGGCGAGGAGGCCUCGCCGCGCGGAUGCAGGAGGAGGCGCCGGAUCCCCCGCCGGCGCUCUGCCGUGGACGAGCGGUCCCCUGACAUGGCCUCCUGUCCUAGGCCUCGGCUUCCCUCCCCUGGCUGGCGCUUGCUCGCCGGGCCCGUGGCGGUGAUGAGGGGGCGGCAGUAAAUAGUUGUGGCAGACUGGCAGCAGUGUGGUUGAAUCGACGCGUCUGCCUGUGCGGCUGCGGCGUAGUAGUAGCCUAGUAGGAGCAGCAGUGCGAGGGGAUGGUGUGGGCGUGGGCCUCCCAGUCGUUCCAUCGGUUAGGACCGACUAAUCAACAUCGUAGACCGACUUAUCAAGGCGAGUUACCAAUUAAUCAGCAAGGAACACUGGGAUGUCGGUCCGGUUUAGAAACACGUGGACAACAUAUAUUCCAGAUUCAAGUACAAGUAUUAUAAGAAACUGUGGAAGUGGGUGGUGCUACACGUUUCAAGCAACACCUUGCAUCGUGUGGGGGAUGUACAAGGUUGUCACAACGUUCCACCAAACAUUGUAGAUUACUUUCAACGGGAACUUGAUAAGGUCCAUGAUAAAAGGAAAGAAAGAGUAGCGGAAGAGGCAAGAAGUUGCAAGUGGUGGAUUCGCAUCAUGGUUCCGAUGAUGAUGAUGAUGAUGAUGAUGAUGAUGAUGGAUGAUGAUGAUGUUGAUGAUGAUGAUGAGUUACAGGGCGCAAUGCGUGUGUCGAGAGAGGAGGAGGAGCUUAGGAGGCGUGCUCGCGUGAGCGGUUGCACGUAUGAGACGGGUGGUGGCUCAUCCUAAGGUGGUAUCCUUGGUGUGUUUGGGAGAAUAUGUUCUAGGAAGGAGAAGCCAUAUAUGGUUUAGAUAAGGAUUGAUACAGGUCCAUUCUCUAAGGCAGGAAAGAAUGUGGUCCAUUUUGUUGGUUAGCGGUGGGCUAAGUGGUUCCAUGCGGAGGUGAUUCCAGGGCAUAAAGCUAAGUAGCUAACAGUCCAUAUUUCAUCAAUGCAUUAAGAGAGACGCAAAAACAUGGUGAUGGGGUCCAAUAUCCGAAAGGCUAUUUGAUUGGCAAUCGUUACUUCUUACUUAGACGAGAAUGAGAAGGAAUUGCAGGUUGAUUUUACGAAGUUCAAGGAGCACUGGACAACAUAUGGACUUACCAUCAUGUGCGACUCAUGGACACUGGACAGGACCAACCCAAAUGAAAUCAUGGACAUCGUAACCGAAAUUGGUCCAGAGCAUCUGGUCCAAAUUAUCACUGAUAAUGGCGUGAGCUACAAAAAGGCAUGUCGUAUGGUAGUCGCGAAGCAUCCUACU